UAUCAUGCUAUGUCAUGUAUUCACUUUAUCCUCACCAUCUCACCCGAACAAUUCGCGGCAGCUCCAAACCCCAUCUUCCUCCCCACGUCUUCUGUUUCCUUGCUUGAAUCAGCUCAACUCUAAAUUCUUCCCUUCUGCCGUGGGAUCCACCCUCCGAAUCUCUCCGGGCUCCGGCAAACAUGUCUUUCUAGGUUUCCAUCUUAUUUUUUCUUUCAUUUCAGCCACAAUAUGUCAUCGGCGGCAGCAGAUCUACUGGAAUCCCACAGGUGGUGCGUCCACCGCUUAUCUUUGACAUUGUCGUCGUCGGAGUACGGAAUCGACAACUUUGAUCGCCUGCCAGACUCGAUCCUGAUUGUCAUCUUCAACCGGAUCGGCGAUGUGAAGGCACUUGGACGGUGCUGCGUCGUCUCCCGCCGUUUCCACGCUCUCGUUCCCCUCGUCGACAACGUUGUCGUCCGCGUUGACUGCGUUAUACCGGACGAUCCUUCUCUUUCUUCAUCAUCGUCCUCCUCCUCCUCGUCUGCUUUCGCUGCUGUCGUUGGUGAUAGAUCCCGCGGGGUUUUUUCUCAUCUUGCUCGUUUCGUUUUCGGCGGGAUUGUGCGACCCUUUUACGUCCUUGGUCAGAUUCUCUCUGUUCCCUCUUCCAAGCGCGUUUCAUCCUCCAAUUCGGCCUCGUCCUCUUCCUCAGCUGAAGUUUCACACCACUCCCCCUCUGAGGUGCUGAAAAAUUUUAAGGAGAUCCGGCGGCUUCGGAUUGAGCUUCCAGCCGGCGAACUCGGCGUUGAUGAAGGUGUUCUUCUCAAAUGGAAGGCUGAUUUUGGAUCCACCCUUGACAGCUGUGUCAUCCUUGGUGCUGCAUCUGUCCUCUCCUCCAAAUCUGCAAAUGCUAACCCUACGCAUGAGCUUUGUGCCAGUGAAGACAACGGCAGCAUUCCUGAAUCUUUCUAUAUGAACGGGGGACUGAAGCUUAGAGUUCUAUGGACAAUCAGUUCUCUCAUUGCCGCCUCUGCGCGGCAUUACCUCCUCCAAUCCAUCAUCAGUGAUCACGAGACAUUGGAGUUCUUGGAUCUCACCGAUGCAGAUGGCCAAGGUGUACUGACCAUGGAUAGAUGUCAGCUACAGGAUCUAAGAGUAAGGCCUGUAUCAGCUUCAGGUUCUUCACAGCGGACAUUGGUCCCAGCACUCAGCAUGAGGUUGUGGUAUGCUCCGCUUCUUGAGAUGCCAGGUGGAUUAGUUCUUAAAGGGGCAACACUAGUUGCUAUCCGGCCUAGUGAAAAUUCUCAGAAGGAAGUGGCUGGAGGUUGCAGUAUUGGCGAGCCCUUAGAUUUGUCUUGGGUCUCAAAUGCCUUGGAGGAACCAUACAGGAGUGCAGCAAAGAUGCUAGUGAAGAGGAGAACAUAUUGUUUGGAGAUGAAUUCCUUCUGAGAUUUCAAUGAUUGGCAGAAAUAUGUUUCCUGCUGGAGUAAUAAAUAUCCGAUGAUUGGAGAGGUGGUUACAUUAAGCAGAUUGACGCGCAAGAUCUAUACCGCUGCAAAUAAGUAGUGAGUUAUGGACUGUUGUCUCCUCAUGGUAUGCGUGGAUUUGAGUGAAGGGAAGAAGAGAACUCUAUCAGCCUGUAUGACAUUAAUAUCUUACAAGCCAAACAGUAACUUGUUCUUCAACUUUUUGCUGCUUCACAUAUUUAUGAUUACUUCUUCAUUUUCUACAUGUAAAUAAAUUUAUUUAUGUUUCUCAGUCUGAUAUAUAUUUUAAUAUUUUAAAUUCAAGUACUAGUGCUGAUUAUUACUUGUCUUAAUCAUGGUGCUCAAAUGCACGCCAUUAGCAUGCCUCUGUGGCUCUGUUCCAGAUUAAACCUGAUCUUGAAUCAUCUGCUAUACAUAUUGUCACUGAGGGCAUAUAUACUCUGUUUUUCU